rnacentral:rRNA from 1 species
UACGAAGGGGGGCUAGCGUUGUUCGGAAUUACUGGGCGUAAAAGGGCGCGCAGGCGGUCCUUCAAGUCAGGCGUGAAAGCCCCGGGCUCAACCUGGGAAUCGCGCUUGAGACUGAGGGACUUGAGUUCGGGAGAGGAGAGCGGAAUUCCCAGUGUAGAGGUGAAAUGCGCAGAUAUCGGGAAGAACACCCGUGGCGAAGGCG